CUACGUGCCAGCAGCCGCGGUAAUACGGAAGGUCCGGGCGUUAUCCGGAUUUAUUGGGUUUAAAGGGAGCAUAGGCUGGAGAUUAAGUGUGUUGUGAAAUGUAGACGCUCAACGUCUGACUUGCAGCGCAUACUGGUUUCCUUGAGUACGCACAACGUUGGCGGAAUUCGUCGUGUAGCGGUGAAAUGCUUAGAUAUGACGAAGAACUCCGAUUGCGAAGGCAGCUGACGGGAGCGCAACUGACGCUGAAGCUCGAAGGUGCGGGUAUCGAACAGGAUUAGAUACCCUGGUAGUCCGCACAGUAAACGAUGGGUACUAGGUGUAGGAGGUAUCGACCCCUUCUGUGCCGGAGUUAAAGCAUUAAGCAUCCCACCUGGGGAGUACGCCGGCAACGGUGAAACUCAAAGGAAUUGACGGGGGCCCGCACAAGCGGAGGAACAUGUGGUUUAAUUCGAUGAUACGCGAGGAACCUUACCCGGGCU
rnacentral:rRNA from 1 species